UUCCUACUCCCACACACAGUACAAUCACUUCUGUAGAAUUAGAUUUUCCCCAAGCUACACCCCCACUUCCCUUUUCUUUCUCUCUACGACAGUUUUGAGCAGUUUUUACCAGCUUUCAGCCGUCCUUUUCGGGUUAAGCAUAUCUAUUUGCAGCUACAUCCUUAACUGGAGCACAAGUAUUUCCAUUGAAGCUUUUUAUACUUCUAAAGUUCUCCAUCUUCAACUGAAAUUUACAACCUAUUCCUUCUCUCUGAAAUAAAAGUUAAAUCUUCUGCGCUUCGGUUAGAGCUCAUCUUUCUGUCACUUGGUUACUAAUAGGAGUAAGCUUUUGUCAUCUUACAAAGAUAUGACGUGAUUUACAGUCAUUUUUUGGAUGAGCCAACCUCUACUGGCGUUGAAAAGGGUAUGUUGGAGUGCAUUAGAUUGUGUUAAACAACAACAUAUGCCCAGUACAAUCCCAUAGACUGGGGCCUAGAGAAGGUUGGUUCAUAUCUUCUUACCUAUUCACUCUUGAUUUUUUACAACGAGUCCUACAAGAUGCAAUGGUACAUAGGCUCUUAUGCAAGGCAAAUAUUUUAACGGGUAGGAGCUUUUUUGGAGCUCAAAAGAAGCAGUACCUAAACCCAAAAAGAAAGUGACAUCAGACAAUUACUACGGGAUGGUGAGUGAAGGUGACACAAAUCCAAAUUCACUUCAUGAAGAGUCUGAGAUUGCUCAUGAUUCUCUGUUUAAGCCUCCCUUCACUCUCGAAGUUCAGCUCAGCGAAUAUGGUGAUUUUUCUCCAUCUUUACCCUUUUACCUUUCUCCCCAAGCCAUCCAUAAAUGGAGAAGGCGGUGCUUCUUUGCUCUGUUUCUUCUACUUCUACCCUCUCGUUGUCUAGAAUCUUCUCACGCUCUUCACAUCGCCUCGCUUCUUACUUAGCUAAAUGACACCGUUUAAUUCAAAACCUUCACCGUCGGUGUUCACUUCUUCGGAUCAAUAUUCGCAGCAUAUCGCGUUCAAUUCACUUAAAAAGAUAAUUUUACCCUCACUCUGUUUGAGCUAUCACUACUUCCGCACCUCAAUCAUUCAAGAUAUAUUCCUUUUCUCCAGAAGAUAUUCAAGAAUGCUUCAAUGCAACAAUUUUAGCGUGAACAUUUUUUUGUUGGAGAUGAAAAGGGAGAACCCAGCUCCAAACUCUGCCGUAGAUCAUCUUUCGAAAGCUUAAUCAUUGUCGGACGAUUUCGUAGGGUACAACUCAAGUAUUGACCUAAUGGCUCCAAAAAUACCACAACCUGAAGUGUAUUCCCGCAUAGUGGGGUCUGGGGAGGGCUAGGUGUUCGCAGUCCAUACCACUACCUCCGGAGAAGUAUAAAGGUUGUUUCAAAAAACUGAUUGAUUAUUAAGAGGAAAAGUUAGUUGAUUCCGAGUUAAAUGCAUACGAUGAUUGUGACGAUUCACAUGCCAAUGUGAAAUGUCAGAACAUAGAGAACUGUAAGUACCUUUACCACCUCAACAUAUACCAUUUUAAAUACUUGAGAUCUACAAGAUUUGCCUUUUGCAUUGAGAAUACUCCCGUUCAUGUACUGAUCUCAAUUUGUAAACUUUGAUAAUUUUGCCAUUCAAUCAGUAUAUGAUUCUUUCCCACAACCAUUUUGCAGCCUCACAUAUUACAUAAUGUUUAUCAUUGUCAUUUGAUUUUUUCUUCUUGAGUCGAGGGUGUAUAGAAAAAAAUUUCUCUACUCCGUUAUUAUGUGCAAUCACACAUUCAGAUUAAUGAAUAUUGCGAUCGCGUGGUUAUGUCUGCUGCAACUAAGAAGUAUGGGAAACAUAUCAACAAAUCUCUGAAGGUUUUAGAUAUGACCGACUUGAAACUUUUAGCUCUAAACCAAAUAAAGGUCGUCAAACCUCUUCUGUAGGAGAGAACCAAAAAAAAGGUUCAGGUUUUAUCAGGAUAUGAAUAGGAUGAUCUAUUGAAGUGAGGAAAAUCAUAGAGGUGUUUAUGGGUUCUGCUGAGGAAAACUGCAAAGUAGGAAGUUUGGUCAGUGGAGGACAUACUCUACUUGAUGAAAUAAAGUUGUUGAAGGAAAUGCAGGAUCAUACUGAGUUUCUUACCUGAACUAUCUCGAUUUUUCUGAGCUUUGUACCUCAACCUCAACUAUUCAAUUUUUUGAGUUUCCACCAUGUCCACAUCAGCAACAUCUGUCACCGAAUCACCGGAGAAGUCGCGAGUGAAAUCACCGAAUUCGACGCUGGCGUUCUGCGAGAUGCAUGGGAAUAGUUACAUUCGGGUCCAUGGAAUUCACUUGUACCCAUAUGGAGAGAUACAUAAUGUGCAACAGUUGUUACCUAGGAAGUCACUGUCUUGUAAGUUAGUAGGGAAAAGGUCAGGCUUAUCGUUGGAGGCAUUCCUGAAAGACCAUUAUUUAUCAGGAUCCCCGGUGGUCAUCAGAGAUUCCAUGGAUCAAUGGCCUGCUAAGAAUAAGUGGAAUGGCAUGAAUUACCUUAGAAAGGUUGCUGGCUUCCGUACGGUCCCCAUUGAGCCAUCCAGAGUUGGACUAAAUUUAUGUCAAGAUGGAGCUGGCUGUAGAGAGUCUGUGCUUAGGUGUUAUAGAAGGGAAGUCUACUCCAUAAGCAUGGAACGAGAGCUGGCUGUAGAGAGUCUGUGCUUAGGUGUUAUAGAAGGGAAGUCUACUCCAUAAGCAUGGAACGAGAGCUGCCUGUUACGUUGGGUUCAAGCUUGGAAUUUACAGAUGAAAGAAUGCAUCCAGAAUAAACAACCACGUACAGUACGCAUGUAUUACAGAAAAUAAGGAACCUCAUUUUGGCUUCACAUUUCACUUCAGGAAAGAUUUGAGAUGGUCUAAGAUGCUUCAAAUGCGAUAUUCGUUCUCAGGCAUCAAGAGAAACAGGUUGGUCUUGUUUCUGAUUAUGAUCUAUUGGCUCUGGACUCUGGACUCUGUAUCAGGUAUGACUUAUAGUUUUGAUGCAAGUUUUAUACAUUGAUUUUACACCCAUAUUUUAUUACGAUCCUUUCAACAGGACAUGGAACCUUUUGGCAUCUGUUUUGUUCACUUUUUUUCUGCUAUAAGGAAAAUACCCAUAUUUUAUUAGGAUUCUUUCAACAAAGACGUGGAACCUUUUUGGUUUUAUACCCAUAUUUUAUUAGGAUCCUUUCAACAAAGACGUGGAACCUUUUUGAUUUUAUACCCAUAUUUUAUUAGGAUCCUUUCAACAAGACAUGAAACCUUUUGGCAUCUGUGGUGUUCACUUUUUUUCUGCCAUAAGGAAAAUUGGAACUUUUUACUUAUUAACAUAUUAUAUAUAUCCAUGUGAAGACUGAUCAUAGUGUUUUAAGUUGGAUUCUAAAGUUGUUCAUUAGUUGGGAGUCCUCGUGCUCCUGGUAAAGCAUUAUUUUCUGAGGAGAAUAAGUGCAUCUCUUGCUCUUUCUCUUAGGUACAGAUGGAGCUGAUGCAAACAUGUUGAAGAGUAGCUCAUAGAACACUUGUGGAGAAAGGAAACAAUAAAAAUAAUUGUGUAGCUGUUUUAGACAUAAAAUCAAAUAUCUUGGAUUCAUUAUAGUUCUCUAAUAUCUCGUGUCAUUUAUAUGAAUGACAUAUUGCACAAAGUAUUAACCAUAAAAAGUGAAAAUAAAGAAUUUCACCUUACAAAUUCACCUUCUCAAGAAGAAGGAAGAUUAUAAUAAGUUAGAAAAACUAAAUGAACAAUUAAAGUGAGAACUGUACUCAAAAUUUUACAAGCAGAAUCACAGAUUUGACAAUCAACGUCUUCAAAUGUGCAAAUUCUUUUUUCCUGUUACUCUUAUCUUUCCCUUUCAAUUGCUAAAAAAGGACCUUAUAUUGCAAGUAUCACCUGAAAAAUCUACAACAUCAAUUCAUGUAACAUGUUUGGUUGGGACAAGAUGCAUGAGAUAACUCAUUCGGGAUUAGUUAUCCUGGAUUGUAGUGGGUGGGAUAAUUGAUCUCGGGAUACGUUAUGGAAGCUUGGUUGCAAGUAUUUUUGAGGUAAAAUCUAAAUUUAAUGCACUAUUCCAAUAUAUUAAGGCUCUUCUCCCAUUUGGAUGGUAAGAUAUGCCUUUUUGGUUGUACUAUUUUCAGACCUAAACAGUUGAGGAGUACAUGAAACACAUAACUGUCACUCCGUUGUAAAGGUUGGAUAUGUGCAAGCGAGCAACUUGCUUUGGAUCUUAUGAUUUACACUUUGAAUAUUCCUCUUUGUCGGUUGCUGCUGCUCCAUACUACAAAGAAGACUAAAUACCUUCCCACCUUGUAAAUAUGUAUGUAAUGUAAACAAUACGUAAAUGAAUGUUUGUCAAUCAUAUAAUAUUUAUAUGUGAAUAAUAUAUGUAAAUAAUAUAUAUGUCCAUGCUGAUAAAAA